AUUGAACGCUGGCGGCAGGCUUAACACAUGCAAGUCGAGCGGGGGAAGGUAGCUUGCUACCGGACCUAGCGGCGGACGGGUGAGUAAUGCUUAGGAAUCUGCCUAUUAGUGGGGGAUAACAUCUCGAAAGGGAUGCUAAUACCGCAUACGUCCUACGGGAGAAAGCAGGGGAUCUUCGGACCUUGCGCUACAAGAUGAGCAUAAGUCGGAUUCGCUAGUUGGUGGGGUAAAGGCCUACCAAGGCGACGAUCUGUAGCGGGUCUGAGAGGAUGAGCCGCCACACUGGGACUGAGACACGGCCCAGACUCCUACGGGAGGCAGCAGUGGGGAAUAUUGGACAAUGGGGGGAACCCUGAUCCAGCCAUGCCGCGUGUGUGAAGAAGGCCUUAUGGUUGUAAAGCACUUUAAGCGAGGAGGAGGCUACUUUAGUUAAUACCUAGAGAUAGUGGACGUUACUCGCAGAAUAAGCACCGGCUAACUCUGUGCCAGCCGCCGCAGUAA
rnacentral:rRNA from 1 species